UUUUUCAGAUUUCACAGUUGCCUGGGCCUAGCAGCAAGAACCUCCAUCUGUCCCUGCCCCCAGGUCAAGAUCUACCGUGGCUCAAGGGCCUUCACCGCAAAGGACCAGAGGACCAUCAUCACUACAGUGGCCUCCAUCUCCAUCUGCCACAAGAUUAAGAUACACCUCGGGACAAAGGCCUCCACCACAGCCAUCACGAUCAACCCAGCCAGCAAAGAAGUCUCGCCUAGCACCGCCUCGGUGAGACUCCAGAAAGCAUGGAGCAAGAGACAAUUUCCCUUUUGGCAGAACAACAGAAAAGAAACAACCGGCAAUCAAUAAAAGAAAAGAUGGCGAAGGCGUUUGGAUACUGAAGACAAGAAAUAGUGCAUCGGAGGCCAAGCAUUGAAGGCCUCUUGGAGCGGUGGCCUGCACUUUUUCACAUGGAAGAGGUAAAUGCUGAGUUAAUGCGCAUAACAACAAUUCCAUUGGAGACAAAGUUCUUGGCGCAGUUGGACAAACACUCAGGUCAUCAGGAGCAGGGGAGGAGUUGUGAAACAGAAGACCACCGGGAUCUUGCAGGUUUUGGAUGAGACUGUGGACAUCGCCAUCAGAAGAGAAUGCGUCCUCAAAUCUCUAAUGAUCUACCUGGGUGAACCUGUUGACCAUCUCAUCAA